UACGUAGGGUGCAAGCGUUGUCCGGAAUUAUUGGGCGUAAAGAGCUCGUAGGCGGUUUGUCGCGUCUGCCGUGAAAGUCCGGGGCUCAACUCCGGAUCUGCGGUGGGUACGGGCAGACUAGAGUGAUGUAGGGGAGACUGGAAUUCCUGGUGUAGCGGUGAAAUGCGCAGAUAUCAGGAGGAACACCGAGUGGCGAAGGCAGGUCUCUGGGCAUUAACUGACGCUGAGGAGCGAAAGCAUGGGGAGCGAACAGG
rnacentral:rRNA from 1 species